AUACGGAGGGUGCAAGCGUUAUCCGGAAUCAUAGGGUUUAAAGGGUCCGUAGGCGGGCGAUUAAGUCAGAGGUGAAAUCCCACAGCUCAACCGUGGAACUGCCUUUGAUACUGGUUGUCUUGAGUUACAGUGAAGUAGAUAGAAUGUGUAGUGUAGCGGUGAAAUGCAUAGAUAUUACACAGAAUACCGAUUGCGAAGGCAGUCUACUAACUGUAUACUGACGCUAAUGGACGAAAGCGUGGGGAGCGAACAGGAUUAGAUACCCUAGUAGUCC
rnacentral:rRNA from 1 species